rnacentral:rRNA from 1 species
AUUGAACGCUGGCGGCAGGCCUAACACAUGCAAGUCGAACGAGUGGCGGACGGGUGAGUAAUGUCUGGGGAGCUGCCUGAUGGAGGGGGAUAACUACUGGAAACGGUCGCUAAUAACGCAUACUAUCGGAUGUGCCCAGAUGGGAUUAGCUAGUGGGUGGGGUAACGGCUCACCAAGGCGACGAGCCCUAGCUGGUCUGAGAGGAUGACCAGCCACACUGGAACUGAGAGACGGACCAGACGCCGACGGGAGGCAGCAGUGGGGAAUAUUGCACAAUGGGCGCAAGCCUGAUACAGCCAUGCCGCGUGUAUGAAGAAGGCCUUAGGGUUGUAAAGUACUUUCAGCGGGGAGGCGUUACCCGCAGAAGAAGCACCGGCUAACUCCGUGCCAGCAGCCGCGGUAAUUC